rnacentral:pre_miRNA from 1 species
UGGUUGAUGGUUCUCGCAAAGUGUCUGAUUACAGUACGCACUCUGCAGGUUCACAUCAGCCAUA